rnacentral:lncRNA from 1 species
AUGCGUGGAUUUGGUAACCUCUUAACGACCCGUACAGCCAUGUUUGCUGUUACUGGGUUCGUAGCAGGUGCUCUAAUUACUAAAGGUGUUAGAAUCGCUUAUGAAUAUUUUUAUGGAGACGCAGAAAAAGAGGAUUUAUCUUCUAUAGAACAACCGGAGUCUGAUUUUAAUAGCCCUGGACCCGAAAUUUCAACUUGUCUACUCAAAGAUGUCAAACCAUUGAUUACAGAAGAUGAAGGGGUGAAUUCUCUCUCUCUGAAAGUGAACAUAACUGAUGUUAAAUAUUCUUACGGAGAAACAAAAGACGGUUCAUCUACUUUAGAAAAACCAGAAUAUGAAAGCAACGGUGGUUUUGGGCUGGAAUUAGCAACCGGUCUACUCAGAGAUGUCGAACCAUCGGUUUUCCAUGAAGAGAAGGAUUCUGGUCACCAGACAAGCGUCUCUGUGGCCCAUGAACCACUGACUGAAAAACCAUUUUCUGAUUUUACGUCAGAUCAAGUAACUACGUCAGAUCUGGAUGCGUUUGAAUUUAGAGAAUCUGGCUCGAAGUCUCCCAGCGAAAACUUCACUGAAAAUGAGGAAAAGUUUGUGGUUUUCAGAGGAAAACAGUUAGCCGCAGUUUCAGAGACGGCGUUCGGAGACCAGGCAGCAGAAAUACCGAUCUCUGCUCAGGACUUUCCUGAACAACACUUUGACGACUUGUCUGAGACGUCUGGUGAAAAUGACGGAUAUUCCUUUAGUCCAGAAGCUGCUUUACUCCACUCUUCUUUGGAAGAUGUGUCGGCUUCUCAGGACGACGGAGUUACGUCAGGAAACGGUUUAGCAUCAGAAGUCACGACUUAUUCCUCUUCUGUAACGCCUGCUGAAGAUGAUCUGUCGUUAUUUCAUUCGGAAGAUGACCUCUCCUGUGACAAUCCAGAUACAGACGUCUUUUUCACUUUAAAGGAAGAUUUUGGAGAAAUUCAGUCAGAAGAAUUGUCUUCAGAAAAGGAUUUAUGUGAGGGCGACUGUUCUGCAACUACAGAGGAGCUUUUCGAUGAGAACGAUGAAAACUCGCUCUCUUCAGGUCAAAAGCAGGAAAUGUCGCCCAGUUUUACAGAAUUAGAAGCUUUUAUGGAAGGAGAAGCGAAAACAUCUCCGGUUUCAACAGAAGAUUACGAUUACGUGUCUGACAGAUCUGAAAUGCUUCAUGAUGAAUGUGAGGCCUGGUCUGAGCCAAAAAGUGACCUUGACUCAUUGCCUUACGAUGACAGCGACUUGCCUUACAUGGACAAAGGAAUGGGUUGCAAACUCGGGUUAGAAACAGAUGUGAAGGACCUAAAUUGUGAAAAUAUAGCUCCUCUCAGCGGUUCUCAUCUUGAUACCGAAUGGGGGGAGGACGUUGGUCUAUCUCGGACUAAGACUAUUUGGGAGAAUCAGGAUGACGAUCAGAUUGGUCUUUCUACAAUUAUAGAGGAGAACUUUGAAGAAAGAGAUGAAAUAUCACUUUCUUUAGAAGAAAAUGAGGACAUGUCUCCUACUGAUGAAGGUUUAGAGGACAUAGACGAUGAAACGUCCGUUUUUUCAGAAGGAGAAGUGAGUGAGGGCGACACAUCUUCAGAUUCAGAGGAAAACUAUGAUUUGCUCUCUGCCAGCUUUGAAAGUCUUGAUGGAGACGAAACAAGUUGCUCCGAACAAGAAGAUGAAGAAUCACUGCCUGAACACGAAAGUCACGCUGAAAACUUGAUGUCUGUGAGCCCUGCGGCUGAAACGUUCGUUUCAGAGCAGAAAUUAGAUGACGGUAAUUCUUCUCCUAGCUGGUCGCCCAGCUCUUGUCACUCUGAUGGUGAGGGUGAAACACUAGAUGUUUUAAAUGAUGAUGAAGAGGAAACGUGUUUGGCUAUGGAGGACAGAUUUAAUCACAAGCCUGAUGAUUUUGAUGCAGGUGAGACAAUUAGCUCCGUUUUAGAGGUCGAUGUGGAUUUAUUGUCUGAAGACGCAAGUGGUCUUACAAGUGGGCAGGCUGAGGUAAAGAGGCUCAAUGAAUUUGAUGAACUUUUGUUGGAGCUUGGUCUACAGGAUCUGGUCUGUGACAAUGUGGCUUCUGGUAGCUCGUCCUCCAGCUCUGGACAGGAACUGGAUGAGGAUGAUGAGGACAUAAAUUGGUCAGAUAUUAAAGAAGGAGUAGCCAAUGGGUUAGGAUUAGAUUCAAAUACAGUUCAAAUGUUGUGGGAUGUUGCAAACAGCUGUAUAACACCUCAGAGAAGAGUAGAAAGCAACGUUGAAAAAGUUAGAUCAGGUGAGAAAGACGAUGAAAUAUCUUCAAGCUCAGGUGACGAGGAUGAUGUGGACAUUAAUUGGUCAGAAUUAGCCAAUGGGGUAGGAUUAGAUACAAAUACAGUUCAAAUGUUGUGGGAUGUUGCAAACAGCUGUAUAACAUCUCAGAGAAGAGAAGAAAGCAAAGUUGAAAAAGACAGUUCAGGUGAGAAAGACGAUGGAAGAUCUUUAAGCUCAUAUGAUGAACUGAGUGAGAGUGACGAUGAAAUAUCUUCAAGCUCAGGUGACGAGGAUGAUGUGGACAUAUGGUCAGAAAUUGAAGAAGGAUUAGCCAAUGGGUUAGAAUUAGAUGCAAAUGCAGUUCAAAUGUUGUGGGAUUUUGCAAACAAAGGUAAAACAUCUCAGAGAAGACAAAAAUGCAACGUUGAAAAAGUUAGUUCAGGUGAGGAUGAAGAUGGGAGAUCUUCAUACGAGAAGACAAGUGUGGACGAAGCUCUUCCAAGCAUGUCCUCCGAGAUCUCGUACGAGCAAACCCCGCAACAUCAGAGGGAAAAUAAUGGAUGUACGGUUAAAGAAAAAUCAUCAGUGAGAGCAGGAAAGAGUUCAGGAGUAAAUAAAAGUGGAACCUUGAUCACAGGAGCCAAAGCUCAGAGGUCUCUGAUUUCUGGCAGAGAGACUGAACCAGAGUCUUCACAGGUAAGCGAGACUAAAGCGUCAGUCACAUCUGGAAAAUACCUGAAGGGACUGAAGAAGAUGUGGGGUAUGUUUAAGAAGAAAUUUUAGUUUUUUUUUUUACAUAGGAAGUCAAGAUCAAUUUCAUUGUGUUUUGAUAAUAAGUUCGAGCAUUUGGCUUUUAUAUACAGCACUUUGGUUAGCUGCCAUGCUAUUUUGAAAUGGUGAUUUAUAAAUAAAUAGGUGUUGUAAAUGCAGUUUAAGCAACUUUUUUGUUCAAAGUUUCACCACAAGAUGGCACUGUGAUUUUGUGAAGGCCCUAGAAAGUUUAUUUAACAUGUUUAUUUAAAGUAUUAUUUUUCAUGUUUUCAAUACAUUUUGUAGCAUUUUCAGGCACACAGAAUUAAUCAUUUUUGAUAUUUGAGUAAUUUUGAAUUUGGUUAUUUUGAUAAGGUGUGUUUAAGAGCGCUGUGAUGUCACUUCCUGUCUCUUGCAGCUUCUGAGAUUUUAUUGAUGUGCACGACAAUUUGUGCCAAUUCAGAACAUUUGAGAAGAAGGUUAAGUGUUUUCAAGUCUACUGGUUUGUCUACUAGCAGGCCAAAGUGGUAUGUUUAUUCUUUAUUUAUAAACUCUGUAUGUUAGCAAACUUAAGGCAAAUAACUUGUUAAUUUGUACAUGAUUUAUACUUUUACAGGUGUGGUAUGGUAAAUAAAACUUUUAUAAAAAAAACAUAAAUUUAUAAAAUACACAAAAUAAACAAUAAAAUAACACACAAAUAAACAUCCCUCCCGCAGAAUCGCCACCUUACCGUGGUGGGAGGGUUUGAGGACCUCCAUGUUCCUGGAAGCUCUGUUGUCUGAGCCAUCAGUCCCUGUUAGGGUCUCCAUGGCAGCAGGGUCUCAGGAAGGCGGUCGGACUAAGCGCGAUUCAAACACCUAAAGAUUAGACCUCCUCUAUGUGGAUAAAAAAAAAAGUUAAAGUCCCAUUAGUUGUCACACACACAGGUGUGUGUGUGAAAUUUGUUCUCCGCAUUUGACCCAUCCCCUGGGGGAGCGGUGAGCUGCAGACACAGCCGCGCUCGGGAACUAUUUGGUGGUUUAACCCCCCAAUCCAACCCCUUAAUGCUGAGUGUCAAGCAGGGAGGCAUUGGGUCCCAUUUUUUCAAAGUCUUUGGUAUGACCCGACCAGGAAUCGAACCCCUGAUCUCCCAGAGCAAGCUCUUCCACGUAGAGGAGAUGCUGUCCACGGCCAGUCUUGUUGAUUAUUUGGUAGACGGGCAGCCGUGUGAUGGAGUCCACUACUGCGUUCAUAUUGAUACCUCAUCUUGGUGAGUUAAUGCCACGCGUUAGCCUAGAAAACAUGCUAGCUUCAUACUAAACUUAGCAUUAUGUUACCGCCGAACCGCGUUUGGAUUUUUCAGUUCAAAAGCAGUGCAAACUUUAUUUUGGUUAACCCACUGAUUUAUGGAAGCACUUUUAGUUCUUUUUGCACUCUUUAUUUUGAUUGAAUGUAAUGUUUGUUGAGUGUUAAAUGUACUUCUAAGUUUACUGUGUGAACGUUUACAAAAGUCCUUUUGUAAAUGUUAAUCCUGGUACCCCAGGUAGGGUUUUACCAAUUUAAAGGAUAAAUUUAAAAGAAUAGCAUUGGUAUAAAACCCAUACUACUUUAUGAGAUUGUUGAGUUGUAUGUAUUCCAUGUUAAUCCUGGUACCCCAGGUAGGGUUUUACCGAUUUAAAGGAUAAAUUUAAAAGAAUAGCAUUGGUAUAAAACCCAUACUACUUGAUGAGAUUGUUGAGUUGUAUGUAUUCCAUGUUACGCUUUGGAACGUUGGUUACAUAUUGUAACCCCAGAUUCUAUGAGUCUAGUCGCAGCCCUUAAGCAAGCUGCUAUUGGAAGGGUGAUCUCAGCAUCAGCCAAUCAUGAAGAGCUUAAAUGUACGCCCACCACGUGGGCACUCCUUGUGGGUUAUAUAAGUGGAGCGACUCCACUGCUCGCCUCCGAUGGCUCUUAGUCCUAACAGAACCAGUGUGGCCAAGUGGCUUAAGGGCUGCGACUAGACUCAUAGAAUCUGGGGUUACAAUACGUAACCAACG